AUUUUCUUAAUAUAAUUAGUAUAGGUGACUUCCAAUCAUCUAGUCUUGGUUAAAACCCGAGAGAAAAUA
rnacentral:tRNA from 1 species